GUAGUUCCAAGAAGCAGCAGUGUGAAAAGUUUUUUUUUUUUUGAGAGAUAGGUAUAACACGCAAUCCACUUCGUUUAUUUCAUAUAGAAAUAAACUUAGCUGGAAAUGUGAAUCAAUUAGGAUUCGAACUUGGGGCCUCGAGUACCAACCAUCAAGUCCUUUGCCACUUACUUUAGGGACGUUCAUUGGUAGUAGUGUGAAAAGUUAAAAGUCAUAAUUAGAUACAUGUGAAAUAGAGUAUUUAGAUUUAUGUUUUGUAUCAU
rnacentral:lncRNA from 1 species